CUAGGUGCCUGCAUAAACAUGAGCAGAUAAGAUGGGAGAAUGAAGGUAUUUGAAAUAUGUGGAUUUAAAGCAUCUAGUAAUGAUUAUGAAGAUGCUGAAGGGAUAUGGCUUUGGAUUACAGCAAUAGGCAAGAUGUUAUCUGUUAAUAGACUAAAGAACAGAGAAGUGAUUUCUGUGACUAUAGAGCAAUUUAAAGGAAGAGCUGAGAUUAAACAGUCCCACAUCUGCUUCACUGCUUUGGGUAUCAUUAUUUAUCUCAAUCUCCGGAGCCAUUGAGGACCAAGAUCAUACUUGCUGAAUAAAUGCACGGAACAGGAUCAGAGGAUAGACACAGAAUGGGCCAAGAAGAGAAAUAUUAUUCCUCAUAAGAGCUUGCUUGAUUGCAACCACCAAGGACAUCCGCAAACCAGGGCAAGAAGGACCAUCAGUAAUUCUUUCCCAUAAAUAGUGACAGGAAGAAAAUAAACGCCCUAUUCUUCAAUGAUUUGAACCACCUCUGGAGCACGAACUUCCUCUAAAUUCACAGGGCAAAUAUCCAUCAUGGGGCAGGUAUCUAUGCUGCCAUGGAAAGUAACAUAAAAUGUACUAAGUCAUCACAGGGAGUUUUAAUUUUGUUUUUAAGGUCAAUUGCCAUGCUGGGGUAAAAAGCAAUGAUCCUUGCCUUUUAUCACCGGAAAAAUUCUUCACCAGUACUUUGU